ACCCAAACAAACACCUCAUCUCAGCCCUUCAUUUCAAGGGCUGAGAUUAAAUCCCACUUCAUCCCUAAAAAACUAAAUCACGUCUGCCCCCUUCUCCCGUUCUUCUCACGUCAGACGUCUUCUGCCGACCCACCCCCAUCCUUCAACCUCCCUCCACUCCGACAGACGACCGACGAGUCCCCGCCGCCGCCGACCCACCACCUACCCCUCUCUCUAUUCUGCUCUCAAGGAAAGGUCGAAGAAAAGGAAGGGAAGGUCCAAGCACGGUAAAAUCGCGAAAAUCGAAUUCGCCCACCACCGAAGCUCCAUUGCCAAGAAGAUCGAAUUCUUUGACGGAGGAAACUAACAAUUAAAGGUGACAGUCACAGUAAGAAUGCUGGCAAUUUUAGUGAUUUGCAGCUCUGUUUAGAUGGGGUGUGGCAUUGUAGCAAAGAUCACGACUACGACCAAGAAAUAGUAAAGAGAAGGUGAAGUUACUGCAGCAAGCAAAGAGGUUGUUCGGAUAAAAAAAAAAAGAAAAAGCAAAGAGGCUGUUUGAAGAUGCAGCAAGCAAAGAGGAUUGCCUGUUGUUGUGGGAUUUUUUUUUGUAAUCUGGAUAGAUAGAGCUGUGUGAAUUGGAUUUGGAUGGAGCUAGUUUUUUGUUGGGGCUGAUAAUGGAACUAUGUUUUUUGUAGCAUUAAUUUGAAUAGAAGUUGCAGUUGAACUGGUUUAAACA